UAUUUAAUUAAUAUCUUUAAGUCACCAAAUUAAUACUAAUUAAUCUAUGACUUAUAUUAAUUAAAUAACAAUAUUAUUAUUCCUUAUAUUACUCUUAUAAUAUAUUAAUAAUAUUUACUCUCUCAUAAUAAAUCAUCCUAUCAAGUUGCUAUGGUGAAGGCAACUCAAAAGGACCAUGCACAAUCGGGUCAAAUACUUGCCUAAUAUAGUUGCAACCUUAGACACUAUUCCAACAGUCUCCCACUUGGAUAAGUCUAGUAACUAUAUGCACAAGUACAAUUCGAUUUGCAAUCGUAGCUCUCAAAGACGCUGUCAAACUCUGAUCUAAUCAAUCUUGUCCUUUAGAUAAGGGAUCGUACAGUCCUCUGUUAGAUAUCAUGCUGACAAUUCUAUGGAAUGAUUAAUCUAGCAUUUAGGUUUCUCGAUCUCUGAUUUAUUUGACAUAGAANCAAUUAACAAACAACAAACCAUAUAUCUAGGUUUUAAGACAAUAUGAUAUUAUCGUCUUGCGAUCACCCUUUUAUAUAUCAUAUUCCAUAAGGUGAUUCCAGCAAGCGCGGGUUUGUUCCAAACUUCCAAUGCUCAAAACCAGUUCAUAAGCACUCAUGAACGUCGCAACAAUCUUUUGCCAUGUCUAAUACCAUUUAGACAAUCUACGCACCAAUUCACGACAAUCUUCAUUCAUAUCUACUUCCAACAUAUGAAUGAUUGUGGACAAUUUGACAUCUUCAAAUUAUCCCUAUGAUAAUUUACUGAAAGGUAAUUGGUUGUUCAAGUAGUUUUAUACACUCUUACUACUCAAGGGUGUGGGAAAAGUAAAUGAAAGAUGUAAACUAUAACAACAAUACAUAUAUAAGAUUAUAAGUGUAUAUGCAUAGUUUAGUUCAAGAAUGUAAAAUGCUUUUGUAAGACAUUUAAGGGUUUUGAACAAAUAUAAAAGUGACUUGAUUUCAUUUUGAUAAUCAUUUCAUAUGUAAUACAUUUGAUAACAAGGUAUUUUAAAGAUAGAAAACCAUUUCAUGCAUCACAUUUUGUAGUAUGUGAAAUCUGUUGAAUGAAAACACAAUUAUAAAAUACAUAGAGAUGAUUUAAUAACAUGUUGUUUUCUACUUGUAUUCCCUCCCCCCCCCCAUUAAAGCAUUUAAAAUCAUUUAAAACAUUGAUUAGGGGUAUGAACUCACCUGUUGUGGGUGAUACGGAUGAACUGAAGAGGUAGGACUGCUAGGUGUCAAGUGAAGUCAUGAACACACUUACGAUCCUAGUUAACAUAUAAUUUCACAUAUAUGUAACAAAUUAGUCUAUAAACAACUAAUAAACAUGUCAAGACACCCUAGGACAUGUUAAACACCUUUAUCAAGUGUUAUUAGCCUCUAGGAUUGCAUCUAAGUGUUUAUAGGGGAAGCUAUUGCGUGUAGGGUUCAAGGAAAACUCCAACAUGAAGUUCACGGCCCUAAUAACACUACCAAAUGAGUUUACGGCCGUAAACUCAUGGGUUUACGGCCGUGAACUCAUACUUAUUUGACCAUUUGAUGUUUGAUGCUCUAUAAGGCCCUAAUAAGCAUUUUUACUUAAUGGCUUGGUCUAUGGAAGAGUUUAGGGCAUAAUAUAACUCCUUUUAGGAGUUUACGGCCCUGGGACCAUAUUCCCUUGGAGAUUACGGCCGUAAUCUCCCUUGGGAGGAUGUUUAUGGUGUUUUCAAGUCCCUAAAUAAAGUAGGAACUAAACUAGGCUAUUGUACAAGGCUUAAGAAGAGUUUAUGGCACCUUUUGGCACCAUUUUAUGGUGUUCACGGCCCUAGAACCUUUUGGGCCGUGAACACCUUACAUUUGGUGUUCUAAGUGUGUUAGCUAGUCAAUAACUCAUUUAGGUACAUGCCCAAAUUAGUAUCAUGGCUUAAGGCGAAAUUUUUAAAGCAAUAUGGCACUUAAACAUGGAGUUCACGGCCGAAGAACCUCCUUGGCCGUGAACUCUCUUUCACCCCUUGAAUCUUAAUUGUUUUGGUGUCCUAAACAUGCAAUGGUGGGUUCUAGUUUGAGUUCCAUGGCUUUGAGGGACUUUGGGACACCUUUAGCCCUUACAAUGUGAUGAGUUUUGGCCAUAUGAACAUUCCUAUGUGCACAUGCAAACCCUAAUGCUUGGAUCUAGGUUUCUCUAAUUAAACAUGCUUUGAAUCCAAGACUUCUAAUGACUAAUUAGGUAUAACAACAAUACAAAAUCAGAUCUAGAAGUUUACCUUUGAAUUUCUUGUUUUGAUCUUGUUGUCUUCGAGCUCUAGAGUCACAAUUGUCACUCCUCUAAUGGCUUACAAACACCAACUAGCAAGGAGGAUGAUUUAAGAGAGAGGAGAGGGAAGAGAUUCGGACAGUGUUUUCUUUCUUUAGAAGAGAUACUAAUUUCACAUGCCCUGAGGGUCUAUAUAUACUUAUAGGCUCCUAGGGUUUCACCCUUAAACCCUAGUUGGAUAAUCUUUCCUUAAAGCAAUCCACAUCCUUUCCAUGAUAAUGCCUUGGACGAAUUUGAGGCUAUCCCAAGCCCUAGAAUUCGUCCAUCCUCUAUCCAAGAAGGAUUUACAACCCAAAGUGUAACUAUCAAACAAUUGACAGUUUAUACCCUCUUAUUUAAUUAAUCUCUUUAAGUCACCAAAUUAUUACUAAUUAAUCUAUGACUUAUAUUAAUUAAAUAACAAUAUUAUUAUUCCUUAUAUUACUCUUAUAAUAUAUUAAUAAUAUUUACUCUCUCAUAAUAAAUCAUCCUAUCAAGUUGCUAUGGUGAAGGCAACUCAAAAGGACCAUGCACAAUCGGGUCAAAUACUUGCCUAAUAUAGUUGCAACCUUAGACACUAUUCCAACAGUCUCCCACUUGGAUAAGUCUAGUAACUAUAUGCACAAGUACAAUUCGAUUUGCAAUCGUAGCUCUCAAAGACGCUGUCAAACUCUGAUCUAAUCAAUCUUGUCAUUUAGAUAAGGGAUCGUACAGUCCUCUGUUAGAUAUCAUGCUGACAAUUCUAUGGAAUGAUUAAUCUAGCAUUUUGGUUUCUCGAUCUCCAAUUUAUUCGACAUAGAACUUAAUCAAACACAUCAAUUCAGUUCUGACCGAGCCCGGUACAUAAGUCAAAUCAAAUCAUCGAGCGGCCGAGAUAUCGCUUUUACCUUCUUAGGAUAAAAGUUACAGAUAAACUUCGACUUAUAUGCACUUACUUAUUCAUUAAUCAACUAUACACAACAAUGUGUUUUAUAACAUCGAGUUACCAAUGCGUUUUCACAUUAUCAAUGUACAAUCAAUUAACAAACAACAAACCAUAUAUCUAGGUUUUAAGACAAUAUGAUAUUAUCGUCUUGCGAUCACCCUUUUAUAUAUCAUAUUCCAUAAGGUGAUUCCAGCAAGCGCGGGUUUGUUCCAAACUUCCAAUGCUCAAAACCAGUUCAUAAGCACUCAUGAACGUCGCAACAAUCUUUUGCCAUGUCUAAUACCAUUUAGACAAUCUACGCACCAAUUCACGACAAUCUUCAUUCAUAUCUACUUCCAACAUAUGAAUGAUUGUGGACAAUUUGANNN
rnacentral:lncRNA from 1 species